rnacentral:pre_miRNA from 1 species
CAACUACUCCCUCUGUCCCAAAUUUCUUGUCUUAGAUUUGUCUAGAUACAGAUGUAUCUAAUACUAAAAUGUGACUUGAUACAUCCGUAUUUAGACAAAUCUAAGACAAGAAUUUUGGGAUGGAGGGAGUACUUU